UGUGGAACUUUAAAACCAGCAACCACCUUAAAACACACACACCCCCACUGGGCCCACUGCUAAAUAAGCCACUGGUCUGCGUUUUUCGGUUGGGGCGACCUUGGAGUAAAACAAAGCCUCCAAAAAUUAGACCACACCUCUAGACUGAGAGCAACCCCUCAACGUGCUAAUAGUACCCAGACCCAAUAUAAUUGAUCGAUGGACCAAGCUACCCCA
rnacentral:rRNA from 1 species